rnacentral:rRNA from 1 species
UUUAACUAAAGAGAAUAUAUUUUAUAAACUCCCGAAGUAAGAAGAUCUAAUUAUUUAUGUUUCCGAUUUUUUGAGUAGUAAUGUAUAGUGUAGCAUAACUAUCUAAAGAGAAAUAAUUAGGGGUGAAAGGCUAUCCAAUUCUUAUUGAUAUCUGGAUUAAAUCAAAAAAUAUUUAGUAUUAUUAGGUCAUUUUUACAACACUAAGAUUGUAAAAUCUAAAGAGUGUAUAUUGUACCCUUGUUAGAUGCGUUAUUAAUAUAAAGGCAUAACUAACCAUAAAAAAUAUCUUUAUAAUUAACUUUUGUUUUAUAGGUUUAUUUGUUUAAUAAUAUUUUGAAAAUUUUAAUAGUGUUUAAAUGAGUAUAUAUAUUAUAAAACUAUAAGGAACUCGGCAAACUCAUCCCUCAACUGUUUAUCAAAAACAUAGCUAGUUGAGUAUUAUAAUUAGUAGUUCUCUGCCCGGUGAGUUUUUAACGGCCGCAGUACACUGACUGUGCAAAGGUAGCGUAAUAAUUUGGCUUUUAAAUGAAGUCGAGUAUGAAUGAGUGAAUGGGGGAAUGCUGUCUUAUAAUUUUUAUUUAAAAUUUACUUAGGAAGUGAAAAUUCUUUCAGGUUUAAUCAAAAGACGAGAAGACCCUAAAAAUUUUUACUAAAGGUGUAAAAUAUUUCUUUUAUGUUUUUGUUGGGGCAACAGGUUACUAUUUAAAAGUAGCUAUAGAUAUUAUAUUUUUAUAACGAGUUUUACUAAUAUUAAUCAAAUUACUUUAGGGAUAACAGCAUAAUUUUAUUAAAAAGAUUGUGACCUCGAUGUUGGAUUAGGAUCUAUUUAAAUUAACCGUUUAAAUAGCUGGUUCUGUUCGAACUAUGGUUUCCU